rnacentral:snRNA from 1 species
GUGCUCACUUCGGCAGCACCUAUACUUAAAAAUUGGAACAAUACAGAGGAGAUUAACAUGGCCCCUGCACAAGGAUGACACGCAAAUUCGCGAAGUGUUCCAUAUUAAA